rnacentral:rRNA from 1 species
ACAGCAGCAGCCACGGUAAUACAGAGGGUGCGAGCGUUAAUCGGAUUUACUUGGCGUAAAGCGUGCGUAGGCGGCUUUUUAAGUCGGAUGUGAAAUCCCUGAGCUUAACUUAGGAAUUGCAUUCGAUACUGGGAAGCUAGAGUAUGGGAGAGGAUGGUAGAAUUCCAUGUGUAGCGGUGAAAUGCGUAGAGAUCUGGAGGAAUACCGAUGGCGAAGGCAGCCAUCUGGCCUAAUACUGACGCUGAGGUACGAAAGCAUGGGGAGCAAACAGGAUUAGAUACCCCCGUAGUCCCUGUCUCUUAUAC